rnacentral:snRNA from 1 species
AGCUUUGCGCAGUGGCAGUAUCAUAGCCAAUGAGGUUUAUCCAAGGCACGAUUAUUGCUAAUUGAAAACUGAGAGAAGAGCUUUUGAGACAGAGAAACAGGAAGUACAAAGGCCCUGAGGCAGAAGCCUAGCUGACGAAGGAAGGAGGAAAGGAUGGGAAUGUCCAACAUAUAAUUAUUGAU